UACAGAGGGGGCGAGCGUUGUUCGGAAUUACUGGGCGUAAAGGGCGCGUAGGCGGCCAACUAAGUCAGACGUGAAAUCCCUCGGCUCAACCGGGGAACUGCGUCUGAUACUGGAUGGCUUGAAUUCGGGAGAGGGAUGCGGAAUUCCAGGUGUAGCGGUGAAAUGCGUAGAUAUCUGGAGGAACACCGGUGGCGAAGGCGGCAUCCUGGACCGAGAUUGACGCUGAUGCGCGAAAGCGUGGGGAGCGAACAGG
rnacentral:rRNA from 1 species